AUUGAACGCUGGCGGCAUGCUUUACACAUGCAAGUCGAACGGUAACAGCACUUCGGUGGCUGACGAGUGGCGAACGGGUGAGUAAUACAUCGGAACGUGCCUAGUAGUGGGGGAUAACUACUCGAAAGAGUAGCUAAUACCGCAUGAGAUCUAAGGAUGAAAGCAGGGGACCUUCGGGCCUUGCGCUACUAGAGCGGCUGAUGGCAGAUUAGGUAGUUGGUGGGUUAAAAGCUUACCAAGCCGACGAUCUGUAGCUGGUCUGAGAGGACGACCAGCCACACUGGGACUGAGACACGGCCCAGACUCCUACGGGAGGCAGCAGUGGGGAAUUUUGGACAAUGGGCGCAAGCCUGAUCCAGCAAUGCCGCGUGCAGGAUGAAGGCCUUCGGGUUGUAAACUGCUUUUGUACGGAACGAAAAGCCCUCUUCUAAUACAGGAGGGUCAUGACGGUACCGUAAGAAUAAGCACCGGCUAACUACGUG
rnacentral:rRNA from 1 species